rnacentral:lncRNA from 1 species
GGUGCUCCGGCGGAGUCCAGGUACGGACCUGCUAGUUCUUCCUGCUCGCCUACCCCGGCCCAGGUAACGCUGAGGUGAGGGCUUGGCGACGGGGCUGAGGUGGGAAUGCAUGUCCUGGGAACAUUCUGUGCAGAGAGCCCUCCGUGGACGUGGGGUGGCGGCAGCACCAGCCUUCGGAGUCGAGACCAGUUGCCGAGCUGCCAAUAAUCACUUGCUCGCCAGCCUAGCCAGUUUCGCUGUUUGUGUGCGCGCGCACGCUCCUUCCACGGAUUUGGGGGGCAAGGUGGGGGCGUAGGACAACUGGCAUCCUGGUGGCAUGGCGUCCUGGUGGGCGUGUCUGCUGCGGACCCCUUGUGAGCGUUUUGGGAUUUUUUUUUCCUUUAAUUUUUGAUGUUUUUGCAACAGGGUCUCACUAUUUAUCUCUGGCUGUCCUGAAACGCACUCGGUAGACCAGUCUGACCUCAAACCUAUAGAAAUCCUCCUGCCUCUACCUCCGAAGUGCUGGGAUUAAAGGCGUGCACCGCUCGCCGUGUCAGGACUUUUGAAAUUCCUUCCGGAAUUGAAGGUGAGAGAAUUCAGUCAUAGGAUGAAGCCAACGUCAUUUUCGCAAAAUAUGGAUUCUACUAGAACCCAUCCUUUCCUUCGGGAGUGAAUAUAAGCCCUCAAUAUGUCAAUGUGAGCUUGUGAUUAUGAAGUGUAACGAUUC